rnacentral:lncRNA from 1 species
CAUUCUCACGUUGGGUACACCUCUGGGUUGAACGUACCCACAAGAGCGAAAGCAUGUGGCAGCCUCUUGCUGUCUUGCACACUCUCCUUGACUGAGAUGACAAAAUUUUGGGCCAUGCAACCUUGCAGCCUCAUGCAAAUCUGGAGUGUGAGAACACAUGAUGAAGCGUGACUGAGCAACAAGCUGUUGUCAAGUUCGGUUCAUGGUAACCAUUGUGUUUGGAUCUGCAGGAAAUGGGGAAAGAUCUGAAUCCAGGACUCCCACUGC